rnacentral:rRNA from 1 species
UACGAAGGGGGCGAGCGUUGUUCGGAUUCAUUGGGCGUAAAGGGUGCGUAGGCGGCGCGGUAAGUCGGGUGUGAAAUCUCGGAGCUUAACUCCGAAACUGCAUUCGAUACUGCCGUGCUUGAGGACUGGAGAGGAGACUGGAAUUCAUGGUGUAGCAGUGAAAUGCGUAGAGAUCAUGAGGAAGACCAGUGGCGAAGGCGGGUCUCUGGACAGUUCCUGACGCUGAGGCACGAAGGUCAGGGGAGCAAACGGG